rnacentral:rRNA from 1 species
CGAACGAUGAAGCCCACUUGUGGGUGGAUUAGUGGCGAACGGGUGAGUAACACGUGAGUAACCUGCCCUUGACUCUGGGAUAAGCCUGGGAAACUGGGUCUAAUACCGGAUAUGACUCCUCAUCGCAUGGUGGGGGGUGGAAAGCUUUUUGUGGUUUUGGAUGGACUCGCGGCCUAUCAGCUUGUUGGUGAGGUAAUGGCUUACCAAGGCGACGACGGGUAGCCGGCCUGAGAGGGUGACCGGCCACACUGGGACUGAGACACGGCCCAGACUCCUACGGGAGGCAGCAGUGGGGAAUAUUGCACAAUGGGCGCAAGCCUGAUGCAGCGACGCCGCGUGAGGGAUGACGGCCUUCGGGUUGUAAACCUCUUUCAGUAGGGAAGAAGCCUUUCGGGGUGACGGUACCUGCAGAAGAAGCGCCGGCUAACUACGUGCCAGCAGCCGCGGUAAUACGUAGGGCGCAAGCGUUAUCCGGAAUUAUUGGGCGUAAAGAGCUCGUAGGCGGUUUGUCGCGUCUGCCGUGAAAGUCCGGGGCUCAACUCCGGAUCUGCGGUGGGUACGGGCAGACUAGAGUGAUGUAGGGGAGACUGGAAUUCCUGGUGUAGCGGUGAAAUGCGCAGAUAUCAGGAGGAACACCGAUGGCGAAGGCAGGUCUCUGGGCAUUAACUGACGCUGAGGAGCGAAAGCAUGGGGAGCGAACAGGAUUAGAUACCCUGGUAGUCCAUGCCGUAAACGUUGGGCACUAGGUGUGGGGGACAUUCCACGUUUUCCGCGCCGUAGCUAACGCAUUAAGUGCCCGCCUGGGGAGUAC